GAUGAAGAACGCAGCGAAAUGCGAUAAGUAGUGUGAAUUGCAGAAUUCAGUGAAUCAUCGAAUCUUUGAACGCACAUUGCGCCCCUUGGUAUCCCGAGGGACAUGCCUGUUCGAGCGUCAUUUCACCACUCAAGCCUGGCUUGGUGUUGGGCGACGUCCCCUUUGGGGACGCGCCUUGAAACGCUCGGCGGCGUGGCACCGGCUUUAAGCGUAGCAGAAUCUUUCGCUUUGGAAGUCGGGGCCCCGUCUGCCGGAAGACCUACUCGCAAGGUUGACCUCGGAUCAGGCAGGGAUACCCGCUGAACUUAAGCAUAUCAAUAAGCGGAGGA
rnacentral:misc_RNA from 1 species